GAACCUGUGGCUCAAGGAGUAGGGUGCAGGCCUCAUAUGCUGGAGGUGGCGGGUUCAAACCGGCCAGGUCCA
rnacentral:tRNA from 1 species